AUUGAACGCUGGCGGCAGGCCUAACACAUGCAAGUCGAACGAGUGGCGGACGGGUGAGUAAUGUCUGGGAAACUGCCCGAUGGAGGGGGAUAACUACUGGAAACGGUAGCUAAUACCGCAUACCAUCGGAUGUGCCCAGAUGGGAUUAGCUAGUAGGUGGGGUAACGGCUCACCUAGGCGACGAUCCCUAGCUGGUCUGAGAGGAUGACCAGCGACACUGGCACUGAGACACGGUCCAGACUUCUACGGGAGGCAGCAGUGGGGAAUAUUGCAGAAUGGGCGCAAGCCUGAUGCAGCAAUGCCGAGUGUAUGAAGAAGGCCUUCGGGUUGUAAAGUACUUUCAGCUAGGAGGCGUUACUCGAAGAAGAAGCACCGGCUAACUCCGUGCCAGCCGCCGCGGUAAUUC
rnacentral:rRNA from 1 species